rnacentral:rRNA from 1 species
AUGGGCUGGGCGAGCCGUCGCCAACGGUGGUCACUGCCAUGUGAACUGGCGCCUCGUCUCCCGCCCCCUCGAGCUUGGGGCCUCGGGGUUCGUGAUCUCGAGCGCACCGGGCUCGCGCUCAGACUGCGGUGGCUUUGGCUCUCGCGAACUGAUGAUGGACGCGCCUGGCAAGGGCUGGAUCUUCAAUUCUCCUGCCAUGAGCGCUCCCUGUUCUUUGCCUCCACCGUCAUGGCCAUUGGGAACGGCAUGAAAGCCUUGUUCUGGGAGGACCGUUGGCUCAACGGGCGCUCCGUCGGCGAGCUCAUGCCCCUGCUCUACAACUGCGUCCCCAAACGACGGCGCAAGGUGAGAACGGUGGCCGAAGGCCUCAACGGCAACGCUUGGGCCCGUGACAUCCAGGGCGUUCUCGGCCUCCACGAGAUCGGUCAGUACCUGCAGCUCUGGCACCUCGCGCAGCAGGCCACACUCCGCGAUGCCCCCGAUCAACUGAUCUGGAAGUGGACCACGAGCGGCAUCUAUUCUGCGCAGACUUGCUACCUGGCCACCUUCCAAGGAUCCACGCACUCCUACUCCUGGAAGCUGAUCUGGAAGGCAUGGGCUCCCCAGAGGGUCAAGUUCUUCCAUUGGCUUGCUAACCUGGAUCGCUGCUGGACCGCCGACCGUCUAGCCUGCCAUGGCCUGCAGCAUCAUACGAGCUGUCUUCUGUGCGAUCAGGCACCUGAAACGAUGCGGCACCUCUUGCUUGACUGCCCCUUCUCGAGGCAGGUAUGGCACGAGACCCUGGCGUGGCUGCGCAUCCCAGCGCCGAUCCCUAAUUAG